GAAUGAACGCUGGCGGCGCGCCUAAUACAUGCAAGUCGAGCGAGAAGACGUAGCAAUACGUUUGUAAAGCGGCGAACGGGUGAGGAAUACAUGGGUAACCUACCCUCGAGUGGGGAAUAACUAGACCGAAAGGUUAGCUAAUACCGCGUACGCUUCUUGGACUUCGGUUCAGGGAGGAAAGCGAUACCGUGGGUAUCGCGCUCUUGGAUGGGCUCAUGUCCUAUCAGCUUGUUGGUGAGGUAACGGCUCACCAAGGCUUCGACGGGUAGCUGGUCUGAGAGGACGAUCAGCCACACUGGCACUGCGACAC
rnacentral:rRNA from 1 species